GGGGUCGAAUCAGAGCUGUAACCACCGGCCUAUGCCAGAGCCACAGCAAUGCAGGAUCCAAGCCACAUCUGUGACCUACACCACAGCUCACGGCAACGCCAGAUCCUUAACCCACUGAGCAAGGCCAGGGACCGAACCCGCAACCUCAUCGUUCUUAGUCGGGUUCAUUAACCACUGAGCCACGAUGGGAACUCCUACUUUUUCUUUUAUGAAAGUCAGCUUUCCUGUAGCCCUGUCCUGUCUCUGGGCGGCAUGUAUGAUUCAAUACCACGUACUUCAAGGCCAGUUUUUCCCUUUUCAGUCUUCAUGCACUGAUUUGAAGUCCAAACUAUCUGCUCAUUCUCAUUAUAAAAGACAUGGGAAUAGACACACAUAUUUUCAUCUUGGGGAUGAUUUAAUUCUGAUCAAAAAUUAUUCUGUUUCCAAGUGGGAAAUGAGGCACAUGGAGUUGAUGGCUUCCAAAUAAAUUCUCUUUUCAAAAGAAGGAGCUGGGUGGAUUCAUCUUGAGACUUAGAUAUCUCUGGGGCCCAGUGACAAAGUAGGAAAAACACAAAACAAGUCUGACGCCAACGUUGGCUGUUGGUCUUUGAGCAGGUUGGCUUCCUUCUCUGUGCCUGUGUUUUCCACCCUCGUCAUGGAAGGAUUAACAGCUACCCCAACCGGGUAGCAGAUGCAGCUGUGAAAGCAGAUGAUAACGAUGGAAGCACGAACUCAACUGCUAUCACUACUAUCGGCUAGCAUGUCUUGAGUUCUUCCUACUUGAAGACGUAAGACUGAACACACUGCACAGGGGAAGUCCUUCAAUCCUUAGAGCAGACAAAUGCAAAAACCCUUACGUUAUCAUCCCCUUACACAGAUGAGAAAACUGAGACUGAGCUGGAGAGGGUGAGUGACUACUAUGUCACUCAGUUACUCAGUGCUGGGGCCAGAGCGCAAAAUCAGGCGCAUGUAGCCACAAAGCCCGAAGCCAUCGCACUUCCUUCCCUCCCAGAAAGGACAGGCUGCUGGGGAACGCAAGGUGUGGGCUGUUACUGACUCCUUGAUGUGUCCUUUGGACUGUCACACAGCCCCGGUACUUAAACUAUGUCCGGCAGCAGAGGGUUGAUUUGAAUAAUCUGAGCAGGGCAGGGGUGGAGAGGCGGCAGCCGGCACAGCCAGAGUGCAGCAGGCAGCUUAGCAACGGGAAAACAAGUGGCAUCGCAGAAGGAAAGGGAAUGAGCCUCAGGGCUGGGUGGAGGAAGGAGGGCGGAGAGGGGAGGGGCUGGGUCGUGCAGAAUCUGGGAGGGUGUGAUGGGCACUGUGGGUGCUGGCCCUGGCAAGCGAGGAGAGGAUCUUUGGGGUGGAGGGAGUGGGGGCUGUAGGACACGCCCACUGCCAAGCCAGAAAGGCUCUGCCAGGCGUGUUGACAUCCAGACCCUGUGUCUCUUUGGUGCCCUCUUCCUGGCUCCACGGAUGGUGGAGGUAACAUCGGAAUUCUGAAAGUCUAACCUGAAUGCUAUUCACUUAACUAACCUCAAUGCUUUCUGCUUAGUGAGCUUAAUGGGUCACCGUGCUUAUGAGGUGCCAGGGCCAACAGGGAAGACAGGAAAUGGAAAUCCCUGGUCAUCUAAGUUCAACUUAACCUUGGCAUACAGGUGCUCACCAUGCAGAUGGUGAGCGGGGGGUGUCAGCCUUCAAAGGACUUGGACCAUGGAAGCCCGGCUUGAGGAUGGGCUGGGGAGAGAAUGCAGUUCUUCAAAGCCAGUGUCUACUGAGGCUCUUGAAAGGAGAAAAGUUCAGAUGAAUAAGAAAGCCUCAAGGAGGCCCCACCUAUCAGGAAAUCAAGUAUGGGGCAUUUCAAGCUUCCAUCUGAAAUGUGUGAGGAGACAAAUUGGAUACCUCCACCCUUCCUUAGCGGAGUGAUUUCUGUUCUGUUAUACAAUUAGAGAGCAAGGGAGCACCUCAGAUACCUCCAUGAAAAUUGCAUUAUAUUUCCAAGGAAUCAUUUUAAACUUUGUUAAACACGAUAAAAGGUCCUAUGGUUAGUUUUUUUAAAAAGAGGUAUUUUGAAGUAGGAUAAGAUGAUGCGAUGUCUGAGAUAUGUUUUAAAAUACUUCAACAAAGAAUAAAAAACUAACAGGAAAUGUUGCAAAUCAUUGAUAACUGUUCAUCUGAGUGAUGAAACUUUCAGGCUUAUACUAUUCCUACUACUUCUAUGUGUAUUUGAAGUUUUGCAUGAAAAAUAAAAUGUACUCAUGGAACAGACACACACACACACACACACACACACAAAUCUUGCAAAUGUGCCUGGGAUGUAUUUCUUUGGUGUGAGUAACUUCAAAACAUCUGCAAAUCUCAACAAAAUCUUCAUGCCUAAAAAUCUCUCUAUGCUUCAACAACCACUUUGUGAAAAUUAAUCAGAUGACAUUGUUAAUGAAGGCAAUUAGAAGAAUGACAAAUUAAGAAAAAUUUGGUUUUGAAAGAAAACAAUAUUGGCCAGGUACCAGGAAGCUAGAGGAUGUAGAAGCGCAGAUGGUACCUUGUGGGUUUUCAUGAAGUGGGAAGAAUGUCUUCUAAAAGGUUCUCUGGUGGAAAUAAAGUACCAAGGAUGGAAGGCCAGAGUAUCUGGGCAUUACUCUGGUCCUUGGCACUAACUGGUUGUGUGUUUGGGGGCAUAUCAUUUGUGUAUUCGCUCAUCAAGCAUCUGAAGCCCCAGGGUGGGGGGAAAGACCCACUAGGCACCAUCUGGCCCUUGCUUAGCAUUCCUGGGAGAGGAUGCUGACAACCCUAGCCCCCGUUAGCAUGGUCCAGCACCAAGUGUGCACUGCAAGAGGGCAUGAUGGGGUUGUCAAGGCACCAGGGGAUAGAGAAGGAUGGAGAAGGAGUGGCAUGUGUAGAAAGAUAGGGAUGGCAGGGGGAAGGAACUGUAUGCACGGUUUUCGGCGGUGUGAUACAGAUCGGCAAAGAUCCAACGUGGCUGGAGCUCAGGGUUUAAGGACGUGGCUGGGGACACAGCUAGAGAAGCAGGCAAGGCUCUAAUCCAUUUGACAAUUCACUCAACAAAUGACUAGCCAGCUCCUACUGUACACCAGGCAGUGUGCCAAGGACAGGAUACAGCCGCAAACAAGAUGGAGAAAAAUACCCAACUUGGCAGAAAGUAUAUUGGUGCAGGUGAAGAAAAUGACCAUAAAGAAGACAAAUGAAGACUGAGAGUGUCAGCCCACAAGCUAAGUACAGAAAACACACCGGGGAGGGGGCGGGGGCUGAGGAGUGGGGAGGAGGAGAGGGAGUGUCAGGGGGCGCUCGGUCUCAGUCUGAAUAUUCAAAGCAUCUUCUGAAGGACAAGAGGAGUAAGACUUGCCGGUAGCCAGGGAAAGAACAUUCUGGAAAGAGCUUUUAGGUCCUUGAAUAACAAGCAGGAAGGCUUUAUCCUCACAGCUAUGGAAACAAUGGAUUUUAAUGCAAGGGUCCAAACCCAUAUAUUUUGGUUUAUAAAGGACCAUUUUCGUAGUUCUAUGUAGCAGGUAAGCAGAAGGCGGCAGGAGGACCAAUUGGGAAAAAAAGUCCAGAAAUUUUCAGAUGAGACACUCAAGGGUGGAAAUUAGGAGUGUGGUGGGGGGGAGAGGAGGGUUUGAGAACAAACACGGAAGAACCAGGAGUUGGUAGGAGCGCUGGAGGCUGCCUGGCGAGGAGGAGGGAGGCCUGAGGCGGGAGACGGAGAAGACUGCCCUGUCCUGAUUCCCACGGAGGGACAGCUACGGGGCAUGUUUGAGUGGGCCACCUACUAACCUUGCCUGACCCUUGGUCACGUCUUACUGCCAGGGACACAAGUCUCGUCGGGACAAGAAGGGCUGCCCCACACCUAGGGCUGCCCCAGCCACCUUAGCACACAAAGGGUAACUCCUCCUGCUCAUGGCCAGCAUCGCUCUGGGGGUCCCCCACUCCCUGGAGAAGGAUGCACCUCCUUUCACCCGCUGGAAACCUUGCCAAUAUUAAAAGGGAUGCCCUAUCCUGAAAGGCACAUUGCAAUGAAAAUGUCCAAGCAGAGAAGACGGCCAUUGUGUCAGUUAAUUACCAGAGCCAUGUUUUGUUUGCUGGGGCAGGAUGUCUGUACAGCCAUUUGUACCCGUUCUGCUCCAUUAGGCUAAUUAGUUUCCAGAUAUAAAUUAAAGCUGCUGCCCUGAACCCACUGUGCUGCCUUUUCACAGAAACACCCCGUUCUCUGUUGAACGACUUAGCAGGUUUUGUAGAUGCAAAAGAUAUUUCUUUGAUUGAAUAUUCGAGCUAAACUAGAAAACCUGCCCACUGGAGCACAGAAAUGAUUAAGCAGUGUAAUUGAGAGUAAUCUAUGCAGAAGCCACAUGCCUGGGGCAGGUCAAGGGUCCCACUGCUUCCUGAUGUGUCAUUCGCUCUUACACUCUCUGCAUCAAAAAGCACUCAUCCCUGAGAAGAUGCAACAGGAAUCCUCCUGCCCCAGGGCCCUAUGUGGAAGUUCAAAUAUAGGACUCAUGGUGAGGGGCCUGUGGCCAUUUAGGCAGGAAGGGAUGGUUAAUGCAGGAGAAUAAGCACCCCCCCGCCCCUUGGCUGUAACUGCCUAGGAUGGCAGAAGCUCUCCACUCCCAGCACCUCUUUCCACUCUUUCUGCCCAGGUGUCAGAAUCGCCACCAUCAGUGGCUUCAUUAAGACAAUAGGUCUUGACUAAGGGGUCAGCAGAACUGGCUACGCAUUUUAUCAGACCCAGUGCAAAGUAAAAUUCUGGGGCUUUUUGUCCAAAAAGUAAGAAACAAGUGCAGAUGAACUAAAAUAAAAUUUGUUUUUGGAGUUCCCAUCAUGGCUCAGCGGUAAUGAACCUGACUAGUAUCUAUGAGGACACCGGUUUCAUCCCUGGCUUCGAUCCGUGGGUUAAGGAUCCAGCAUUGCCAUAGGUCGCAGACGAGGUUGGGAUCCCACGUUGAUGCGGCUGUGGUGUAGGCUGGCAGCUACGGCUCCAAUUCAACCCCUAGCUUGGGAAUGUCCAUAUGCUGUGGGUACAGCCCUAGAAAGACAAAAAAAAAAAAAAAAA
rnacentral:lncRNA from 9 species